AGUGAACGCUGGCGGCAGGCCUAACACAUGCAAGUCGAGCGGCAGCGGGUCCCCGCGAGGGGAUGCCGGCGAGCGGCGGACGGGUGAGGAACACAUCGGAAUCUGCCUGGUUGUGGGGGAUAACGUAGGGAAACUUACGCUAAUACCGCAUGAGACCCUGAGUCGACGGACUGGGGGUGAAAGUGAGGGACCUUCGGGCCGUCACGCGACCAGAUGAGCCGAUGUCGGAUUAGCUAGUUGGCGGGGUAACGGCCCGCCAAGGCGACGAUCCGUAGCUGGUCUGAGAGGAUGAUCAGCCACACUGGGACUGAGACACGGCCCAGACUCCUACGGAGGCAGCAGUGGGGAAUCUUGGACAAUGGGCGCAAGCCUGAUCCAGCCAUGCCGCGUGGGUGAAGAAGGCCU
rnacentral:rRNA from 1 species